rnacentral:rRNA from 1 species
UACGUAGGUGGCAAGCGUUGUCCGGAUUUACUGGGCGUAAAGAGCGCGCAGGCGGUCGUUCAAGUCGCGUGUGAAAGCCCCCGGCUCAACUGGGGAGGGUCACGCGAUACUGAUCGACUCGAAGGCAGGAGAGGGUAGUGGAAUUCCCGGUGUAGUGUUGAAAUGCGUAGAUAUCGGGAGGAACACCAGUGGCGAAGGCGACUACCUGGCCUGUUCUUGACGCUGAGGCGCGAAAGCUAGGGGAGCAAACGGG